UUACGCAGCUCAGAGGAGGCGCUGUUCUCAUUUGGCAGCAGUCCUUUGUCAGGCAGCAGCUUCCCUGGCGGGUUGGGUGGGACGCGGAUGCGCAGGCGGAAGAUGCACUUCUUCUUCUUGAUCUCCUUGCCGCAGAGGAACCUGGGGGUGGGCAGUGGGAGGAAGAAGCUCUGGAGUCUGUCAGUCCAUCCUCCUGGGGAGUGGGGUCAAGCAUGACACAAGCCUCUCUGCCUCCUUGGACCCAGAGCUAAAAUCCGGAUGGUCUCUGCAGAUGCUGACUUCCUCAAAGCCCAUGGGAUGCGGGGUUCCAGGUAGCAGCUGAGAACACGGCUGGUGCCUCCUCCCUGUGCUUCCUCCUGCAUGAGUGUGGUUCUUGCUGCUCUUCUCCCUUUUGUUUGCCUCAACCAGCCCCAAGGCCACCUCCUGCAGGAAGCCCUCCUCCAGCUUACAGUGGAACUCCUAUGGUCAAGAUACUGGAAUCUACUUCAUUCUGUUCUCUGGUUUCCCCAGGAGACUGAAAGCAACACCGGCUGGGCUCCUCUGAGGCUGCAGAAGUGACUUAGACACAGCCCUACCCUCUUUAGUACAAGAGAGUGGAUAAUUCUACCCAGAGGUGUCUGGAAGAGUUUCAGCGAUGAGGACCUUAUUUUAUUCCCCACCAUGACCUCAGCACCCAGACAGGCCCGACAUAGAACAGCAACUCAAUGAAUACUUGUUGAUGGAACGAAUGAGUAAAAAAGACUGAGGCACAUCCUAGACAAAGGGCAGAGCAUGAGUAAAAGUGCCAGGUAGGAAACCAAGGACUCAGGAUGGCUGGCACCCAGAAUACAGAAAGCAAAGGGACAGCGGCAGAGGACGCGGGCACAGCCUGGUCUUAAAAGGCCUUGAGUGCCAGGUUCAGGAGGCUGGGCAUGCCUCUGUGGUGUAGUGAGGGACAUGGCCAGCUGUGUGUGCUGAGAACCCUGGAUGGGAAGACAGGGGCUGAGGGAUGUCUUCCACCCGAGGAUGUAGCCCACCCGAGAUGAUGCACCCAUCCCUCAGUGCCUGGCCCCCAAGGCCUAGAUGUCUAGAGCCGGAGGGGCCCUCAGAGAGCAGGGGUGCAGCCCCCCUACAGAGCUGAGCCCAGUACCAAAAUACGGCAGGCUGCUGGGGUGGUUGGAGUGGCUGUGCAAAGGAGGUGGGGUACCCCCUGGAUCUCGGAGAAUGGAAAUGAUUCAGAGAGAAGGGGAGUAUCAGAGAGGCAGGGAGCAUAGCCUGAGCAAAGGCUAUGAGGUAGGAAGGAAUCUCACCUGUAGAGGGCCCCACCACACUCCCUCCCCUCC
rnacentral:lncRNA from 1 species